rnacentral:lncRNA from 1 species
GAACGGGGUUCCGUCUGAGUUGCCUUGGUUGGUGUUGAUUACGCUCCACUUUCCACCAGAAAACCUGCAAGCAAGCCUCGCACCACCACUGGGGUAGUGGGGGCCCUCCGACGAUCAAGUCAGAGGAGAUUGGAGGAGAAGGAGAGAUAAUUGUAGGUAGUAGGAGAAUGCGCUGGAAGUUCUUGCUUACCUCCCCUCUUCUCCCCCCAGCCGCAUAUAUACCAGGCUGGGGGGUCCUUCUGGGGGGUUGAUCAUCGUGUGGCACGAUGGAGUUGCCACUGACAUG